CCCUUAGAUGUUCUGGGCAGCACGCGGGCUACAAUGGUCUUCGCAAACGGAUGCAUUCUCGAAGGAGAAUGCCAAUCUUGGAAUCUAUGCCUUGGUCGGGACAGUUGCUUGCAAUUUUUCGACUCGAACCAGGAAUUCCUUGUAAUCGUGAUUCAUCACAUCACGAUGAAUACGUCCCUGCCCUUUGUACACACCGCCCGUCGCUCCUACCGAUCGAAGAGUUAGGUGAAUUGUUUUGAUCGAUAAGAUUUGACUAUGGUCAACUCUCGUUGUGAAAUUCUGUGAAUCUGACUGUUUAGAGGAAGGAAAAGUCGUAACA
rnacentral:rRNA from 1 species